rnacentral:rRNA from 1 species
AACGAACGCUGGCGGCAUGCCUAACACAUGCAAGUCGAACGAGACCUUCGGGUCUAGUGGCGCACGGGGGCGUAACGCGUGGGAAUCUACCCUUGGGUUCGGAAUAACAGUUAGAAAUGACUGCUAAUACCGGAUGAUGACGUAAGUCCAAAGAUUUAUCGCCCAAGGAUGAGCCCGCGUAAGAUUAGCUUGUUGGUGGGGUAAUGGCCUACCAAGGCGACGAUCUUUAGCUGGUCUGAGAGGAUGAUCAGCCACACUGGGACUGAGACACGGCCCAGACUCCUACGGGAGGCAGCAAUGGGGAAUAUUGGACAAUGGGCGAAAGCCUGAUCCAGCAAUGCCGCGUGAGUGAUGGAGGCCUUAGGGUUGUAAAGCUCUUUUACCAGGGAUGAUAAUGACAGUACCUGGAGAGUAAGCUCCGGCUAACUCCGUGCCAGCAGCCGCCGUAA